rnacentral:rRNA from 1 species
GACGAACGCUGGCGGCGCGCUUAACACAUGCAAGUCGAGCGAAGCGGCGGACGGGUGAGUAACACGUGAGUAACCUGCCUUAGACAUUGGGAUAGCCUCGGGAAACCGGGAUUAAUACCAAAUGGUCUAAGAUGGACUCGCGUCCCAUUAGCUAGUUGGUGGGUAACGGGACACCAAGGCGACGAUGGGUAGCCGGCCUGGGAGGGGGAACGGCCAGAUUGGAACUGAGAAGCGGUCCAAACUCUACGGGAGGGAGCAGUGGGGAAUAGAGAAAAGUGGAGGGAACUAUGAAGCAGCGAGGCCGCGUGAACGAAGAAGGCUUUAGAGUCGUAAAGUUCUAUUAUAUGGGAAGCGGUACCAUAAGAAAAAGCCCCGGCUAACUACGUGCCAGCAGCCGCGGUAAUUC